rnacentral:rRNA from 1 species
GGGGAAUCGUGCGCAAUGGGCGAAAGCCUGACGCAGCAACGCCGCGUGCGGGAUGACGGCCUUCGUGGUUGUAAACCGCUUUCAGCAGGGACGAAAUUGACGGUACCUGCAGAAGAAGCCCCGGCUAACUACGUGCCAGCAGCCGCGGUAAUACGUAGGGGGCAAGCGUUGUCCGGAAUCAUUGGGCGUAAAGAGCUCGUAGGCGGUUCAGUAAGUCGGGUGUGAAAGCUCCGAGCUCAACUCGGAGAGGCCACUCGAUACUGCUGUGACUAGAAUCCAGUAGGGGAGUGUGGAACUCCUGGUGUAGCGGUGAAAUGCGCAGAUAUCAGGAAGAACACCAGCGGCGAAGGCGGCACUCUGGGCUGGUAUUGACGCUGAGGAGCGAAAGUGUGGGUAGCAAAC